ACCUACGGGAGGCAGCAGUGGGGAAUAUUGCACAAUGGGGGAAACCCUGAUGCAGCGACGCCGCGUGAGUGAAGAAGUAUUUCGGUAUGUAAAGCUCUAUCAGCAGGGAAGAAGAAGGACGGUACCUGAGUAAGAAGCCCCGGCUAAAUACGUGCCAGCAGCCGCGGUAAUACGUGGGGGGCAAGCGUUAUCCGGAUUUACUGGGUGUAAAGGGAGCGUAGACGGAAUAGCAAGUCUGAUGUGAAAACCCGGGGCUCAACUCCGGGAGUGCAUUGGAAACUGUUGAUCUAGAGUGUCGGAGAGGC
rnacentral:rRNA from 1 species